AUCAGUCGCGCCAACCGCCGCUCCGACGGCGUUCACGGCGGGCGCCACGCAGGCCGGCCACGGUCGGCCAUCAGUCGCCGCGACGGCGGUUCCAACGAGGGUAGCCACCGCCGUCACGAGGGCGGCGGUGCAGACAG